GAUGAACGCUGGCGGCGUGCCUAAUACAUGCAAGUCGAGCGAAUGGAUUAAGAGCUUGCUCUUAUGAAGUUAGCGGCGGACGGGUGAGUAACACGUGGGUAACCUGCCCAUAAGACUGGGAUAACUCCGGGAAACCGGGGCUAAUACCGGAUAACAUUUUGAACCGCAUGGUUCGAAAUUGAAAGGCGGCUUCGGCUGUCACUUAUGGAUGGAACCGCGUCGCAUUAGCUAGUUGGUGAGGUAACGGCUCACCAAGGCAACGAUGCGUAGCCGACCUGAGAGGGUGAUCGGCCACACUGGGACUGAGACACGGCCCAGACUCCUACGGGAGGCAGCAGUAGGGAAUCUUCCGCAAUGGACGAAAGUCUGACGGAGCAACGCCGCGUGAGUGAUGAGGGCUUUCGGGUCGUAAAACUCUGUUGUUAGGGAAGAACAAGUGCUAGUUGAAUAAGCUGGCACCUUGACGGUACCUAACCAGAAAGCCACGGCUAACUACGUGCCAGCAGCCGCAGUAA
rnacentral:rRNA from 1 species